rnacentral:rRNA from 1 species
AACGAACGCUGGCGGCAGGCUUAACACAUGCAAGUCGAACGCCCCGCAAGGGGAGUGGCAGACGGGUGAGUAACGCGUGGGAAUCUACCCAGAUCUACGGAACAACAGAGGGAAACUUCUGCUAAUACCGUAUACGCCCUACGGGGGAAAGAUUUAUCGGAUUUGGAUGAGCCCGCGUAAGAUUAGCUAGUUGGUGGGGUAAUGGCCUACCAAGGCGACGAUCUUUAGCUGGUCUGAGAGGAUGAUCAGCCACACUGGGACUGAGACACGGCCCAGACUCCUACGGGAGGCAGCAGUGGGGAAUAUUGGACAAUGGGCGCAAGCCUGAUCCAGCCAUGCCGCGUGAGUGAUGAAGGCCUUAGGGUUGUAAAGCUCUUUCACCGAUGAAGAUAAUGACGGUAGUCGGAGAAGAAGCCCCGGCUAACUUCGUGCCAGCCGCCGCAGUAAGAC